ACCUUUUGCAUCAUGAUUUAGCCAGAAAAUCUCAAGCAAAGAGCACUUUAGUUUGAUUCCCCGAAACUACGUGAGCUACUCCAAGACAGCCUAACAUAGGGCAAACCGGUCUCUGUGGCAAAAGAGUGGGAAGAGCUUUGAGUAGAGGUGACAGACCUACCGAACCUAGUUAUAGCUGGUUGCCUGAGAAAUGAAUAGAAGUUCAGCCUAUCGGAUUCUUCCCUCACCUUUAUAUUUUUUACAACAACCAAAAGAAACCGAAAGAGUUAGUCAAAGGGGGUACAGCCCCUUUGACACAAGACACAACUUUUCCAGGAGGGUAAAGAUCAUACUCAAACACCAAGGUAAGAUGUUUUGGUGGGCCUAAAAGCAGCCACCCCUACAGAAUGCGUUAAAGCUCAAACAUACCUACCACCCAUAAUCCUGACAACCCUAUCUUAACCCCCUAACCCUACCAGGCCAUCCCAUGCAAACAUGGGAGUGACCAUGCUAAUAUGAGUAAUAAGAGAGCAUUAGCCUCUCUCCCUGCACAA
rnacentral:rRNA from 1 species